rnacentral:ncRNA from 1 species
AACUUUUCUCUAGAUGCAUUUUAACUAUUAUGUUUGUAUUAACGAGUUACCAUUAAUACAUUAGUGCCUUUAUGUACUAAGUGCAUUACUGCUAGUCCCCAUGAAUAAUACAUA